AAUAAUUCCUGUUUGAACCGGAGCAUAGAAAAACAUCCAACCUUGAUUUAGAAGGAAAUAACAACAUUGGUACAGGAUCCAAAUUUAAAUAAAAUAAUACAGGUUGAGUUUACAAAUCAUAAGGAGACCUCUCUUGGUGGUUAUGUCCACAAAAACAUGGAGAACUGAAAUUUACACUACAGAGCAGCAGUGACCCUUCAUCCUGAAUCAGUUCAUGAGUCAUCCCAGCCCAAGGAGCUGCAAUUACCAUUUCCACAUAGAUAACGAUAUUUAUCCUAGGUGCUAGUUUCUUUGCAGAGUUCCUACUGUCCUUCUGAGAACAGGUGUGAGGUCCAGCUCUGAAGCAGGCUCCUGGUGUUUACAUGAUGAUGUGGCACAGGAAGAGGGCAUUGUGAUUUAAGGAAAGAACAACUGGAUAGUUAAGGUCUGAUAGCAUGUUUGAUUCAGACUGGGGGCAAAUCCUAACACCAUCA